rnacentral:tRNA from 1 species
CUUUCUGGCGAAGCUGGGACAUUCUGCCGUUGUUCCAUUGUAGGAAUACAGAAGCAGCUGCG